UACGGGGGGGGCAAGCGUUUGUUCGGAAUUACUGGGCGUAAAGGGUUCGUAGGCGGUCUGUCGCGUCGGGGAGUGAAAACUCAGGGCUUAACCCUGAGCCUGCUUCCGAUACGGGCAGACUAGAGGUAUGCAGGGGAGAACGGAAUUCCGUGGUGUAGCGGUGAAAUGCGCAGAUAUCAGGAGGAACACCGGUGGCGAAGGCGGUUC
rnacentral:rRNA from 1 species